CUGCAGCCCUGGGGCCCGGGAGGACUGCGGCCGCGGAACGUCGUAGAGGAUCAGGGAAGGUUCAGGGUCGACCUCCAGACUCAGUCCUUGGGUUGGGUGGCAGGGUGGGGGCACUAGGGUGGGGAGAUCUCGAGUUUAGGCCAUAAAAAAGAUCAGAAAGAGAAGAGCCCGAGAGAGAGGUGGCCCACCUUGGCCCCGGAGCUUGGGAGGGCGGGUCCCGGCUGGGGUUCGUGGGAUCUGGACCCACUCGCCCCCCGGGACGCGAGCGCGGCGGGGACCGGGCGCGCGAGGCUGCGCCGAGAGAGGGCGCCGGCCCAGGUGCGGCCUCUGGGUGUGGCCGAAGCCAGCCCAGGCGGCCCGGAUUGUCGUCCUCUGCGGAAGCGGCCCGGGCGCGGGAGCCGCGGGCGUAGCCAGCUCCGGAGCCCCGCGCCUCCGCCGCCCCGCGCGCCCUUCCUUUGUGUCUCCCAAGCAGGGGUGAACGCAGACCACUUGGAUUUGAUUUUUCCGUGCGAGUUCCCUUUUUUCCAAGUUCGGGGCCCCUCCUUCCCCCAGCGGCGCGCGCCCCCGGGGUGUCCGCCCCCUCCCCCUCCGGCCCAGCCCUGGGCGGGGCAGACGCCCUUGGAGUCGGGAGAAAAGACUAUCUGAUUUCAAAACCGACGCGACCCGAGCUGGGCUGCGGAAAUGGCGCCCAUGUCCCGGCUCCGGCCAGGUCGUGAUCAGGAGACAGACUGAGGAGCCUCUCCCCACCGCAAUCCCUUUAUACUGGGUAGGGGUUCGAAGGCACAGGGACAGAGUAUACAGGACACUGCUUGAGGCAGCGCGUCCACCCACCAUCUGUGCGACCUCAUCAAGUCACCUCUCUGAGCCUCAGUUUCCCGGUAUAAUGGAAACGGCAAUUUUAAAUGACACGUUCUCCACCUGGUACAAGAAGAGUGGCCCAGAGAAAGGACAAGCUCCAUGGAGGAUGUGGGCAAAACACCAUCUUUUUCUUUUCUUUUGAGACAGUUUCCUUUUGUCUCCCAGGCUGGUGCGUGCAGUGGCACCAUCUCGGCUCACUGCAACCUCCACCUCCCAGGUUCAAGCAAUUCUCCCGUCUCAGCCUCCUGAGUAGCUGGGACUAAAGGCGUGAGCCACCACACCCAGCUAAUUUUUUGUAUUUUUAGUAGAGACAGGGUUUCACCAUGUUGGCCAGGCUGGUCUUGAACUCCUGACCUCAGGUGAUCCACCCUCCUUGGCCUCCCGGAAUGCUGGGAUUACAGGAGUGAGCCACCGCUCGUGGUCUUUCCUGUUUGUUUUCAAGGCCCUCCUUUGAAGCAUCACCUUUUCCACUGCUGUAUCCCACGCCUUGAACCUGCCCAGCUGAUAGCAGAGGUGUAAUAAAUAUUUGUUGAAUAAGUGGAUAACUAAAGAAGCCUAUUUUAUUUUAUUCGGGCCUCA
rnacentral:lncRNA from 1 species